ACAAUCUCAAAGAUUAAUUGAACUAAGUGAUGAAAGUUCUCUCUUAUCGGGUGGUAUCCCAGGGGCAUAAGCCUAGCAUGGGUCGAUCCCUAUUUCAUGUGUUUAUGGGUGGUAUCCCAGGGGCAUAAGCCUAGCAUGGGUCGAUCCCAGUUGAUAUGUACUGGAGGCAUCCUAAUGGUCACAGUACAGUACAGUAAUGAUUACAAAGACGAUAAGAACGAAGGUAAAGUGAUUGAAUAAAUACAAUGUACAGGUUGUCACAAGUUCUAGUAAGUGUGGUCCACUCCUAUUACGACUUAUUCACUUGUUUCUGGUUUCUAUUGAGCUCCUAUAUCAUAUGUGAUUAUUUACAGCUUUACAUACUCAGUACAUAUUUCGUACUGACGUCCCUCACGGGGGACCUGCAUUUCAUGCUGCAGGCACAGGUACCUCAACUCAUACACCGCACAAGUAGGAGCCAGGUCAUACAGCUAUUGUUGGUGAGCUCCAGUUUGCUUCGGAGCUUUCCGAGUCGGUUCCUUAUGUUUUGUUAUUGUACAUGAGUCAUG
rnacentral:lncRNA from 1 species